rnacentral:rRNA from 1 species
GUCUACGGCCAUACCACCCUGAAUGCGCCCGAUCUUGUCUAAUCUCGGAAGCUAUGCAGGGUCAGGCCUGGUUAGUACUUGGAUGGGAGAACUGUGAGCUAAUUAAGCC